rnacentral:rRNA from 1 species
GACGAACGCUGGCGGCGUGCUUAACACAUGCAAGUCGAACGGAAAGGCCCUGCUUUUGUGGGGUGCUCGAGUGGCGAACGGGUGAGUAACACGUGAGUAACCUGCCCUUGACUUUGGGAUAACUUCAGGAAACUGGGGCUAAUACCGGAUAGGAGCUCCUGCUGCAUGGUGGGGGUUGGACAGUUUCGGCGGUUGGGGAUGGACUCGCGGCUUAUCAGCUUGUUGGUGGGGUAGUGGCUUACCAAGGCUUUGACGGGUAGCCGGCCUGAGAGGGUGACCGGCGACAUUGGGACUGAGAGACGGCCCAGACUCCUACGGGAGGCAGCAGUGGGGAAUAUUGCACAAUGGGCGGAAGCCUGAUGCAGCAACGCCGCGUGCGGGAUGACGGCCUUCGGGUUGUAAACCGCUUUCGCCUGUGACGAAGCGUGAGUGACGGUAAUGGGUAAAGAAGCACCGGCUAACUACGUG